UACAGAGGGUGCGAGCGUUUAAUCGGAAUUACUGGGCGUAAAGCGCGCGUAGGCGGCUUUUCAAGUCGAUUGUGAAAUCCCCGGGCUUAACCUGGGAACUGCAGUCGAGACUGUCUAGCUAGAGUAUGGGAGAGGGAAGUGGAAUUUCAGGUGUAGCGGUGAAAUGCGUAGAUAUCUGAAGGAACAUCAGUGGCGAAAGCGACUUCCUGGACCAAUACUGACGCUCAUGUGCGAAAGCGUGGGGAGCAAACAGG
rnacentral:rRNA from 1 species